rnacentral:tRNA from 1 species
GCCCAGAUGGCGAAAUUGGUAGACGCGCUGGCUUCAGGUGCUAGUACUGUCAAAGGUGUGUAGGUUCGAGUCCUAUUCUGGGCACCA